rnacentral:rRNA from 1 species
UACGUAGGGGGCAAGCGUUGUCCGGAAUUAUUGGGCGUAAAGCGCGUGUAGGCGGUCCGGUAAGUCGGUUGUGAAAGUCCAGGGCUCAACCCUGGGAUGCCGACCGAUACUGUCGGACUAGAGUUCGGAAGAGGCGAGUGGAAUUCCCGGUGUAGCGGUGAAAUGCGCAGAUAUCAGGAGGAACACCGGUGGCGAAGGCGGGUCUCUGGGCCGAUACUGACGCUGAGGAGCGAAAGCGUGGGGAGCAAACAGG